GACGAACGCUGGCGGCGUGCUUAACACAUGCAAGUCGAACGGAAAGGCCCUGCUUUUGUGGGGUGCUCGAGUGGCGAACGGGUGAGUAACACGUGUGUAACCUGCCCUUGACUUUGGGAUAACUUCAGGAAACUGGGGCUAAUACCGGAUAGGAGCUCCUGCUGCAUGGUGGGGGUUGGAAAGUUUCGGCGGUUGGGGAUGGACUCGCGGCUUAUCAGCUUGUUGGUGGGGUCGUGGCUUACCAAGGCUUUGACGGGUAGCCGGCAUGAGAGGGUGACCGGACACACUGGGACUGCGAUACGGCCAAGAAUCCUACGGGAGGAAGGAGUGGUGAAUAUUGCACAAUGGGCGGAAGCCUGAGGCAGCAAUGAAGGGUGCGGGAUGACGGCACUCGGGUUGUAAACCGCUUUAGCCUGUGACGAAGCGUGAGUGACGGUACUGGGUAAAGAAGCACCGGCUAACUACGUG
rnacentral:rRNA from 1 species